rnacentral:rRNA from 1 species
AUACCGUGAAACUGCGAAUGGCUCAUUAAAUCAGUUAUCGUUUAUUUGAUAGUACCUUACUACUUGGAUACCUGUGGUAAUUCUAGAGCUAAUACAUGCUAAAAACCCCGACUUCGGAAGGGGUGUAUUUAUUAGAUAAAAAACCAAUGCCCUUCGGGGCUCCUUGGUGAUUCAUAAUAACUUCUCAGAUCGCAUGGCCUUGCGCCGGCGACGGUUCAUUCAAAUUUCUGCCCUAUCAACUUUCGAUGGUAAGGUAUUGGCUUACCAUGGUGGCAACGGGUAACGGGGAAUUAGGGUUCGAUUCCGGAGAGUUAGCCUGAGAAACGGCUAACACAUCCAAGGAAGGCAGCAGGCGCGCAAAUUACCCAAUCCCGACACGGGGAGGUAGUGACAAUAAAUACUGAUACAGGGCUCUUUUGGGUCUUGUAAUUGGAAUGAGUACAAUUUAAACCUCUUAACGAGGAACAAUUGGAGGGCAAGUCUGGUGCCAGCAGCCGCGGUAAUUCCAGCUCCAAUAGCGUAUAUUAAAGUUGUUGCAGUUAAAAAGCUCGUAGUUGAACCUUUGGCCUGGCUGGCAGGUCCGCCUCACCGCGUGCACUUGUCCGGCCGGGCCUUUUCUUCUGGAGAACCGCAUGCCCUUCACUGGGUGUGUUGGGGACCAGGACUUUUACUUUGAAAAAAUUAGAGUGUUCAAAGCAGGCCUUUGCUCGAAUAUUACAGCAUGGAAUAAUAGAAUAGGACGUGCGGUUCUAUUUUGUUGGUUUCUAGGACCGCCGUAAUGAUUAAUAGGGACAGUCGGGGGCAUCAGUAUUCAAUUGUCAGAGGUGAAAUUCUUGGAUUUAUUGAAGACUAACUACUGCGAAAGCAUUUGCCAAGGAUGUUUUCAUUAAUCAGUGAACGAAAGUUAGGGGAUCGAAGACGAUCAGAUACCGUCGUAGUCUUAACCAUAAACUAUGCCGACUAGGGAUCGGGCGGUGUUACUAUUUUGACUCGCUCGGCACCUUACGAGAAAUCAAAG